rnacentral:rRNA from 1 species
GACAGAGGAGGCAAGCGUUAUCCGGAAUUAUUGGGCGUAAAGCGUUCGUAGGUGGUUUGACAAGUCUGGGGUUAAAGCCCGGAGCCCAACUCCGGACCGGGCCUGGAAACUGUCAGACUUGAGUAAGGUAGGGGUUGCGGGAAUUCCCGGUGUAGCGGUGUAAUGCGUAGAUAUCGGGAAGAACACCAGCGGCGAAAGCGCGCAACUGGGCCAUUACUGAAACUGAGGGACGAAAGCUAGGGGAGCGAAUGGG